UACGAAGGGGGCUAGCGUUGCUCGGAAUCACUGGGCGUAAAGCGCACGUAGGCGGCUUUCUAAGUCAGGGGUGAAAUCCUGGAGCUCAACUCCAGAACUGCCUUUGAUACUGGAGAGCUCGAGUCCGGAAGAGGUGAGUGGAACUCCGAGUGUAGAGGUGAAAUUCGUAGAUAUUCGCAAGAACACCAGUGGCGAAGGCGGCUCACUGGCCCGGUACUGACGCUGAGGUGCGAAAGCGUGGGGAGCAAACAGG
rnacentral:rRNA from 1 species